GCCCACCCAGAGAGCCGUAGGAAGCUCCUUGGUCACAUAUUUUAGCGAGCCAUACAUCCGAGAAAACCGAUUGGAUAAAAUAUGGAAUACGCCUAGUUUCCCACGUCCUUCAGCAGACAGUCGCAAGCGUGUCUGUUUUUCCGGAGACGGGUUUUAUGAUAGUAAACGUAUUGUUUUACCACAAUUUAUUUACUCUCACAAUUGGGACGGUAAAUGGAAAACAGAGCAACUGAGAUGUCCAACAGUGCAGAAAUCGUUCACAUUCGAAGAAUACGAGGAUCCAAAGCAAUCACUGAAUGUUUCCAUCCCUGAGGUUUUUGCGCACUUUCUCUACACUUUUGCCAUUUGGAACCAGCAAUGCUUCUCUAAAUAAUAGUUCGCCUACAACUUCAUUGUGGUAAUUGGCCCCGAAGCCUGCCGAGUUCCUUGGAGAGGAGUACAGAUGACUUUUCUGAAUCAAUGGAAGUUGACAUUCAUGUGAACUGUAAUCAUGUCGUUUCUCCCCUCUGUACUAUGUCCUUGAUCCACAAUAUGAGGUGCAUGUAUGGCCCUGUGCAGCGGUAUUAGCACAAUGUGUCGACACAUAGGGAGGUGAUGCACAAAACAGUGCGAGCUUGGGGCUGGCGUGAGUUUACCUGGUGUGGUGGCAGCAAAGUGUGGGGCACAAGUGAUCUUGUCAGACAGUGCAGAACUUCCAGUGUCUGGAGAACUGUAGGCACACCUGUGAAGUGAAUGAACUGCCCAAUGUGCUUGUGAUUGAAAAUGUCCUGGUGACCAUCUCCUUCCUCUUGAGGAAAAACACUGAGGCCCAAUUUUGGACAACUUACCAAGAGAGAAGAUAUGCCUUUCAGGACCAGUCCAUGACUGUCAGUCAAGGUCAAGUAAACAUUAAUCAUUUUGAUUUUCUUUGUCUCAGUGCUGACUGGUCCAUAGAGGCAUUGCUGCACAAAUGGAACAUUCCACUGGAGAAAUUCUAUGCCAACAAAGAUCAACACUUCCAGGAAGCCAUACUGUACAAAUUAUUAACUGAGGACAAGGAAAACUGAAUGAAAGACAAUGGUGUCAGCAAGGCACAGUAAAAAGUCAAAUAGUCAAGACCCAAUACAAGAUCAAUGGUUCAAAACUCAAUGCAUUAUAAAAUAGUUUACGUUGUAUAGUAGUGUUCUGUUAAAGUUUCAGAAUAAAUUGAUAACCCAAAUGUUUUAGAAGACAAUUUUUAUUAGCUUUCACAUUGGACACCUAUACAGACUCUUGCAAGGGGGAAAAGGAAUGCACAAAGGGCAAGACAGAAUGCAUUAAACAUAAUUAGCACAACAUACUUAGUGCUCUGAAUUAGAGAAUUUUUAACUUGUUGAAAGACAGGCAUUCUACCGAUGGUGAAUUUGUAGCAGCCAUUUAAGUUGGCCACCAUCACAGCAUUGUAGCCACAGGGGCAUUCCGGAGAACACUGGAAACAGCCAAGCACUGCAACACGCCACCUUAACAGCUAACCAGCAAUACUCAACUGCUACACAACUGCGCCUAGUGCACAAAAAAUACAGGAGAGAAGAUUAGAGUCACAAUGAAAUUAAACAAAGCUACAUAGCAAGUUGACCUGCAAGUAAAUCCAUGCCUGGUUCUUGUCACUUAUUCUAAAAGCCCUAUCCAUUUGAACUUCUGUAAUGGCCUUCAUGAAACCCAAAAUAACAGUUGUAAAAGCUAGGUCAUCAAAUCU